UUGAACGCUGGCGGCAGGCCUAACACAUGCAAGUCGAGCGGUAGCACAGAGAGCUUGCUCUCGGGUGACGAGCGGCGGACGGGUGAGUAAUGUCUGGGAAACUGCCUGAUGGAGGGGGAUAACUACUGGAAACGGUAGCUAAUACCGCAUAAUGUCGCAAGACCAAAGUGGGGGACCUUCGGGCCUCAUGCCAUCAGAUGUGCCCAGAUGGGAUUAGCUAGUAGGUGGGGUAACGGCUCACCUAGGCGACGAUCCCUAGCUGGUCUGAGAGGAUGACCAGCCACACUGGAACUGAGACACGGUCCAGACUCCUACGGGAGGCAGCAGUGGGGAAUAUUGCACAAUGGGCGCAAGCCUGAUGCAGCCAUGCCGCGUGUGUGAAGAAGGCCUUCGGGUUGUAAAGCACUUUCAGCGGGGAGGAAGGCGUUAAGGUUAAUAACCUUGGCGAUUGACGUUACCCGCAGAAGAAGCACCGGCUAACUCCGUGCCAGCAGCCGCGGUAAUACGGAGGGUGCAAGCGUUAAUCGGAAUUACUGGGCGUAAAGCGCACGCAGGCGGUCUGUCAAGUCGGAUGUGAAAUCCCCGGGCUCAACCUGGGAACUGCAUUCGAAACUGGCAGGCUAGAGUCUUGUAGAGGGGGGUAGAAUUCCAGGUGUAGCGGUGAAAUGCGUAGAGAUCUGGAGGAAUACCGGUGGCGAAGGCGGCCCCCUGGACAAAGACUGACGCUCAGGUGCGAAAGCGUGGGGAGCAAACAGGAUUAGAUACCCUGGUAGUCCACGCCGUAAACGAUGUCGAUUUGGAGGUUGUGCCCUUGAGGCGUGGCUUCCGGAGCUAACGCGUUAAAUCGACCGCCUGGGGAGUACGGCCGCAAGGUUAAAACUCAAAUGAAUUGACGGGGGCCCGCACAAGCGGUGGAGCAUGUGGUUUAAUUCGAUGCAACGCGAAGAACCUUACCUGGUCUUGACAUCCACAGAACUUUCCAGAGAUGGAUUGGUGCCUUCGGGAACUGUGAGACAGGUGCUGCAUGGCUGUCGUCAGCUCGUGUUGUGAAAUGUUGGGUUAAGUCCCGCAACGAGCGCAACCCUUAUCCUUUGUUGCCAGCGGUCCGGCCGGGAACUCAAAGGAGACUGCCAGUGAUAAACUGGAGGAAGGUGGGGAAGACGUCAAGUCAUCAUGGCCCUUACGACCAGGGCUACACACGUGCUACAAUGGCAUAUACAAAGAGAAGCGACCUCGCGAGAGCAAGCGGACCUCAUAAAGUAUGUCGUAGUCCGGAUUGGAGUCUGCAACUCGACUCCAUGAAGUCGGAAUCGCUAGUAAUCGUAGAUCAGAAUGCUACGGUGAAUACGUUCCCGGGCCUUGUACACACCGCCCGUCACACCAUGGGAGUGGGUUGCAAAAGAAGUAGGUAGCUUAACCUUCGGGAGGGCGCUUACCACUUUGUGAUUCAUGACUGGGGUG
rnacentral:rRNA from 1 species